GAUGAACGCUGGCGGCGUGCCUAAUACAUGCAAGUCGAGCGAACGGACGAGAAGCUUGCUUCUCUGAUGUUAGCGGCGGACGGGUGAGUAACACGUGGAUAACCUACCUAUAAGACUGGGAUAACUUCGGGAAACCGGAGCUAAUACCGGAUGAUAUUUUGAACCGCAUGGUUCAAAAGUGAAAGACGGUCUUGCUGUCACUUAUAGAUGGAUCCGCGCUGCAUUAGCUAGUUGGUAAGGUAACGGCUUACCAAGGCAACGAUGCAUAGCCGACCUGAGAGGGUGAUCGGCCACACUGGAACUGAGACACGGUCCAGACUCCUACGGGAGGCAGCAGUAGGGAAUCUUCGGCAAUGGGCGAAAGCCUGACGGAGCAACGCCGCGUGAGUGAUGGAGGUCUUCGGAUCGUAAAACUCUGUUAUUAGGGAAGAACAUAUGUGUAAGUAACUGUGCACAUCUUGACGGUACCUAAUCAGAAAGCCACGGCUAACUACGUG
rnacentral:rRNA from 1 species